AUGCAUGUUGCUAUGCACUGGAAUGACUAUGACAAAAGCCCACUCAAACAUGUUAUUCCCCAUGCUAUUAAAGAUAUCGCGCUUAACUUUGAGAUGGAAAAGGAUGACAAGGUUGGGAAUGAUGUAUGCACAAAAGUAAUCUAGAAGGGUGUUCGACAACAACGCUACAGGCUAAAGAAGAAAUACUUCAAUGGUUAUACUGCUCAGGAAGCAUUAUCAAAUAAGCCAGCGAACAUCACUCAUGAGAAUUGGACCAGCCAUGUCAAUAAAUGGUCUGAUGAAAGAAACAAGGAAAUAUGUCAAAUGAAUAAGGAAAACCGAGAAGCUGUCAAGCAUCACCAAAAGACUGGAUCUAUGUCUUAUGUUGCCUUUUUCAGCAAACUUGAAAAAGACAAGUACAAUAAUCAGGACACAAGUCCCAUUGAGUUUUUCAAAGACAUCCAUACAAACAGCAAGACUGGUAUCAUGAGCGAGCCGACACUUCUAGCUCAUAAUGCGAUGGAAAAGAAAAGGGAAACACAAUCAGAAGGUGAGUAGCUAGUAUCCGAUACAGCGAUUGUGGCUGAAGUUCUAAAGGAAGAAAGUGCCCAUAGCACCUUCCUUUCCAGCAUGGGGUAUGCAUCAAGAUCUGGGAGGUCUGGGAGCUCUCCCAGAUCCGAGUUUUAGAAGAAAGAAUUGAACAGAAGGAUAGAGAGGCAAGAGAUGCAAAUGACAGGCAUCGGGAGGAGUUAGC